GACGAACGCUGGCGGCGUGCCUAAUACAUGCAAGUAGAACGCUGAAGAGAGGAGCUUGCUCUUCUUGGAUGAGUUGCGAACGGGUGAGUAACGCGUAGGUAACCUGCCUUGUAGCGGGGGAUAACUAUUGGAAACGAUAGCUAAUACCGCAUAACAAUGGAUGACACAUGUCAUUUAUUUGAAAGGGGCAAUUGCUCCACUACAAGAUGGACCUGCGUUGUAUUAGCUAGUAGGUGAGGUAAUGGCUCACCUAGGCGACGAUACAUAGCCGACCUGAGGGGGUGAUCGGCCACACUGGGACUGAGACACGGCCCAGACUCCUACGGGAGGCAGCAGUAGGGAAUCUUCGGCAAUGGGGGCAACCCUGACCGAGCAACGCCGCGUGAGUGAAGAAGGUUUUCGGAUCGUAAAGCUCUGUUGUAAGUCAAGAACGGGUGUGAGAGUGGAAAGUUCACACUGUGACGGUAGCUGACCAGAAAGGGACGGCUAACUACGUG
rnacentral:rRNA from 1 species